CCUUGACUGCGAAAGCAGACACUUGCCAAGACAAGGAGAUUGAUAUG
rnacentral:ncRNA from 1 species